GGGCCAGGCUCCAGAUGUUGUUAAAUAAAUAUUUAGGCCCUGUAAUACCAAACGGGAUCUAAGGUGGCUUCGGGCCACGGAGGCGCAGAGGCGGCGGUAGAAGAUGGUCUGAAGAGGAUCAAUCAGGCCGGUCGGCGAGGGAGUGUCGGGUUCGCCUCUGCUGUUAUAAAUGGCGAAAGAAAGACGGGUACACACGGAUUAGGUCGACCAGCACGAGCGGCGAGGUAAUGGCAGAGCUUCGCUUCGGCUGAUCUAGACAUCUAGUCGUCUAGGUCCCCUAUAUCGUCCAUUAGCCGCAAGCCUGCCUCCUUGGCGUCCAUAUAUCCUAAAACGACGACCAUACUGUUUUAAAAUUCUGGGUAGAAACACGUAAAGAAAAAAUUAGAAGUCGUUAAACCUAUAGAGUCAGAGCUACAAAAGAAAAAUCAGUCCGGUAGAGAGUCUUCUAAGCUAAUAAGUUAAACCUGAACCUCUCCUACGUAGCAGCCAAAAACUUACACUAUCAUGUCCUGAACUCGUGAGCGUAGUUAAGCAACAUGGAGCAGCUGGAAACCUUCGUAGAGAAGACGGCCAGUUGUCCUUUUCGUCUUCGACGUCUUCUACGUUUUGACCUCUUCUUUUUAGGUCGUCGCAACUAUCUAGGGAACUUCAACGUAUUCGGCGUUGAGUCCAAACCUAGUAAAGAGGAGAGACGAGACAACUGUCUCUUGACGGAGGACGACCGUCUGAGAUGAGUGUCACGUAAAGAGAUGCUGUUGCUGAAUUUGAGCCAGGUUGGGUAAGUUAGAUACUUAAAAGGGUUUCCUGGAUUAACGCAGACGAAGAGACGUGGGGUUCGAUUGGGGAAUCUGAGAGUGGCGAUGAUAUAUGACCUGGACAGUGGCCGGAGGUGAUAGUUAAGAGGGAAAUCCCAGGAGUCGAUGGCGAGAUUAUCAAAGAGGAGGCUUAGGGUACAUUUUAGAUUGAUGUGGUUAAGUAAGAUGACCCUAUGAGAGGGUCAUGGUGGUAAAGAUCCGCUACUGAUACCUUCUUGGUAACUGUAAACAAGGAGGUACUACUAGUUACCGAGCUGGUAUACGUAUAGGAGACAGCUCUUCCCGCAACCGUGGAUGUGGAAACUAUAUCACUGUUUCAAUACCUGAGUCCGACCGUUAACCCACGACGGGAAGAUGCCGUUUCGUCUCAUACAAGGGCUCGAGUUGGAAAGCAAGCGAGAUAGACGACUGUCGGGGGUGGCGAACACGCGAAAUUGGACGUGAAGUUACGUGGUACCCCCGGGUGGUCGUAACGUCGUAUGAAAACUACUCGAGCUGGACGGCCUCUUAACCAGCGGUAUGUUCACGGUGGACCAAUUGGACCCGAGUCCGUUGAAAACGUAGUAAAGGAAGACAUUCUGGUACUUGACACUCAAACGGCAGAAGUGGCCGCACCUCCACUUUGGGACGUAGUUACCGCUGCCAGGAGAGGCCUACUAGUUCGUGGACAGAUUCUCAAAGUCGGAACCUAGAGUAUCGUAGUUUUCACACGAGACUUGGUAGAUUAACUAACGGACCUACGGCUAUACCUUGAAUCAGACAUUAGACACGAUAAAACAAAAGACGGAGAAUCGACAAGAUUUCGGGCGACGACAAAUAGCCAGAACUAUACGACGUAAAUUAGGCUGUCGCGUACUGAUACAUUUCUGAUAAACGAAUUUACUAAAAAUUUGAACGAAUUCAAGUAACUGUCAGGCAG
rnacentral:rRNA from 1 species